GAGAUAUUGGCAUUAAAAGUUUAGCAUUCAGAUUGAAGUAGGAAGCCGCUUCAUACUAGAUUUGAUUAUCUUGCAUUUCUCUCAAUUGAUAAGUACAAUUGAUUUCAUCUUUUUGUACUUUUUUCUAAUUAAGACAUCAAAAAAUAUACAAAUUUUGAUUUGAUAACAAUGAUUUGAUUAUUAGUUGUUGAAGUUCUAUUUUCUAUAGGAAUUGUUAAGACUUUUUUUAAGAUCUAGGAUUUGAUUAAGAUUUGGUUUUGAAUUUGGUUUAGGAUUUGCUUACGAUAUGAUUUAGAACUUCAUUAGAAU
rnacentral:lncRNA from 1 species